rnacentral:rRNA from 1 species
AGCGAACGCUGGCGGCAGGCUUAACACAUGCAAGUCGAACGAGUGGCAGACGGGUGAGUAACACGUGGGAACGUGCCUGAUGGAGGGGGAUAACUACUGGAAACGGUAGCUAAUACCGCAUACCAUCAGAUGUGCCCAGAUGGGAUGAGCUUGUGGGUGGGGUAACGGCUCACCAAGGCGACGAUCCCUAGCUGGUCUGAGAGGAUGACCAGCCACACUGGAACUGAGACACGGUCCAGACUCCUACGGGAGGCAGCAGUGGGGAAUAUUGCACAAUGGGCGCAAGCCUGAUGCAGCCAUGCCGCGUGUAUGAAGAAGGCCUUCGGGUUGUAAAGUACUUUCAGCGGGGAGGCGUUACCCGCAGAAGAAGCACCGGCUAACUCCGUGCCAGCAGCCGCGGUAAUAC